CGAGCACAGUCAUUCCAAUCGGAGUCAGAGCUGCCGAGGACAAAGAAGGAAAGUCCGCUCACUGCCACCCAGCAUGCCCCCUGUCUGGACGGCCUCUGGACGAUGGUAAAUGGCCGUGAGCGGGGUCAGCCACAUGGUCGCUUGCUGGAUCCAUUAUUGGCUGAUCAUAAUUUCAAGCAAGGUUCCGUGUGAGACAGGAACACAAUGUCAGGGCAGCUACAACCAGGCAGAGCUGCCUUGCAUGCCAGAAAUAUUUCCCCGCCUGUGGGAAAACAUCUCACCGAACAGGCAGGAUUCCCCUACAUGGUGGAGACACUGCCCUUCUUCUGGCUGGAGAGCCUCCCUCUGUGCAGAAUGACCUGCCAACCAGAGCAGCACUGCCCUGCUUAUGGCUAAACCAUCAGCCAGCCAAUCCGCGCUCUGCCUCUCUACCCACUCGACAGACUGGUUUUCCACAGGCACUUUCCAAGGCUUUGUUUAGUCAAAGGUGGAGUCAUGUUCCUGCUGUGCAGCGGAUUCUACGUCACCGACGGGCUGUUAUGACAGAGACGGGGCUUUUGGUCCGGUCAGCCGGGGCAAUUUCCUGGCAAGCCGGCUGUUUCUUUUCUUUGUUGCCACAUGGUUUUUCAAUCAGGCAGUUUUCUGCUUUAUAGUGUGGACUGUGAAUGAUGCUGCUGACACAUGAGGUAUGAGUGCAAACCCACAGGCCACCAGUCCCCUUAUGAAAAUAAAUCCAUUAGAUUAAGAUUUGUAUUCGGGUUUGCACCAAAUGGUUCAUUGAUGUCAGUGCUCUUAACAUGCCAUCUCACAGUGUUGAGGAAAGAAUUCAUGCAUUCACCCUUUUGUCCGGAUCAACACGAAAAUGUAGUGUCUGUUUUUUUGUGUCCCGUCCUUGCACAAGUUUUGUUGAAUUCCGUUUUCUGAAACCAGGAUAUUUGUAAUCCUGCAGACAAACAAACCAAAAGGGAUAAAAACACCAUUUGUGACCAAAACAAAGAAUUUACAGGUUAUACAUAAAUUGACUUUAAAAUUAAACGAAAUUCAUUGGUGACAGAAAGAAAUUGCUGUAUUUAAUCACAAAAUAUAUAAGUGGAGUGUAGGUUUUGGGAAAUUUGUUUAUUUCUAGUAUUACAUCUUCCCUUAUGCCUCAAUCUUCACCAUGAUAAUACCCCAUGUUGUCCACUAUUUGAUCAGUAAACAGUGCCCCCUGCUGUGCAGAAAUAUUAGGCAGUCAAGUCAGAUCAUCUGCUUUUAGUGUAAACCACCAUCAGUUCCACACACAAACACAUGGCCGUGACUUUUUACAGGAUUUUAUUUUUCUCGCUCUCUCUUUGUUUUUCGGGGGAGGGGUGUGACAAACUGAAGAAUGUUUUCUUUGCCUCCUCUGUUUGAAAACAUGUCUGAGCUGCAGUGAAAGCGGGAAAAGAGAAAAGACAAGACACAGCUGCCGGAGUUAAAAAUAAACAGAUACUGAAGCAACGUGAAUAGAGUCGGUGAGAGCUCUGGAGGCAGCUGACCCCGCGGCCCGGAGGUCGCAGAGCUGUGGUUGUGAGAAAGAGAAAGAGAUGGGAAGAGCUGAUCUGUGGAAAGUCUCGCCGAGUUUUGCAACUUCUGCACAAACAUGUUUGAUGGAAAAACCUCCAGAAUGUACAAUUAAAUAAAAACAAAGAAGAUACAUCGCGAUUUAAAUCAGCUCAAAAUGUGCCGACAUUGUUAAAAUACACACUUUC